AAGCAAAGAAGAAAAUAAAAUACUGUGUACGUUACAUAAUAUUUAUAAACCUGUAGACUAUGUGCAUCUUCAUACAGUAUCUAAUUCUGGUAUCUUCUGUCUUUGAAUUGAUACAGUGGAACUGGAAAAGUUUUUAGAGAAGGGUGAUAGGAAUGAUGAAUGGCAGUUAUGAGGAUAACUAAAAAGACUGAGAGACAGGUGGUUGAGAGGAAGUGAUAAUAUUCCAUGAAGUCAGAAGUGAUGGAAGGAGAGGAUGAGUGGGGAGUGAUUGUACUGUGGUUGCUUCGUUUUGUUUUUCAGAUGGCAGGACUAGAGAUUAUUAAAUGGAGUCUCCAGGUGGUGGCUCCAAGUAUACAAAAUGAGGUUGGUAUUCAGUUGAGCUCCAGUGCUCCUCCUUACCACUGUACCUCAUCCCCACUCCUCUGCAAAAAAUCAACCACCAAACAAACAACCAAAUCUCCUUAAAGUUUACUUGGCUUGAAAGUAGGUGGGCCAGUACUUGUAAGGUGAAUCCAUUAAAGUCUGUUAAAAGUAAAGACUGAGAAAAUCCUUUUGAACCAUGAAUUGCUGGACACCACCAAGAAUACUUGCAAAGAAUCCCUGUGUGCUUACCUGGUCUUUACUUGCUUUCCUAGGUGUGCUAUUUGACAGUAAAAUUAAAAAUAAUAAUAAGUUUAAAGGAAAAAAAAAGAAAAUAGUAAGGUAUUCUAUAAGGUUCUGUCUCUGGUUCUGAUAGAACUCCUUCAUGUUUCUCUCUCACAAUUGUUUGCUAUGGUUGUAAGUUCUGUUUUAGGAAGUUUUAGGAAGCCUUCACAUCUCAAGUGAAAUUCUUAUAGAAUCUCAGUAUGAAUUCUGGAAAAUGUCUACGUUGUGAAACACUCCUUGGCAAGGAGACUGUGGAGGCAAACUGAUCUGAUUUCUGUACAGUGGUGUCCAUCAUUUCUUCUGAGAUGCAAGUUGUGAUCUGACCGAUCUCCCAGCACUGGCUUGUUUCAGUGUUCAAAAGAAAAUGGUAAGCAUGUAGUUCCGUUUUCAAACAAUCACCUCUUUAAUGACUUUUUAGUUUUCUUUUGCAGAAUGUGUAUGUUUUGCUUUUGAAAAACUAUAUUGUAUUCCUUAAAAAUGUUGCCAGCUAAAAAUUUGUUUUAUUUCAGAUUUGGUGCUAAAAAUCUUUUCUUUGUCAGCAAUUCAGUAUAUGAGUCUGGUAUAGAAUUACAGGAAUGAUUUUGAAGUUGUGUUUUUAUUCCCCGGAAUGUGAAUUGUUAAAGGAGAAAGGAAUUAGUAAUAUUCGUAUGGGGAUUUUGAGCAUGAUCUAAAUGGAGUCAAUAGAAAUCUUGACCAUUUAAUGAAAAUCUUGAAAUAACUAUCUGGUUCUCUUUAGCUAAAAAAGAUACUAACUUCAAAUUGAAAAAAAGAAAUGCAAAGCAAUACCCCUCAGUACUGACCUGGACUUUGCUUGUGGUGUCAGUGCUAAAAUUACCCUGACUUGUACUGAAGCCCAGGGAAUUAAUGAGCUGCUUGUCAAUUUUAAAAUUAAUGAAAAAUGAGUAUUGGAUGGCAUGGAUAGACUUGACAUUUGUUCUAGGCCAAUUCUUCUCACCUCUUACCUUUUCAUUUCUCAAAGAUGAGUGGAAGUAUCACCUGUAUUAUGCUCAAUGCUAAAAUUAGCUGAGAACAGUUGGAAAGAAUUAAGCUGGCUGACCCUUAUGUUUUCCAUCUGACAACAGGAAGUAUUGACUCUGUAUCUGUCUCUGUUUGGAAUUUCCAGAUCUUACAGCCUGGAACCACUUACAAUAUUUGAGACUGAAAUUCUUGCAGUUUAAGGUAGUCAAGGCUAUGCUGUUUUAAGGCUGUAGUCUGACUUCAUGUGUCAUUGUGGUAGCUGUGUCUGGGAUAUUACUGAAGUAGUGAAAAGAGAGUAAUGAUAAUUGUAAAUGUCAGUAUUGGAUACAAGUUUAUAAUGCUGCAGAAUUGCUAUUUGCUUUCACAGAGUAUGUUCAAGUUUUUUUUGUUUUUGUGGGGGAGAUACAAAGAAGGCACUUAGCACUACAGUGGAACCUGUGGUAUGAGAGCUGUUCUGAAGCUGCAGAAAGUCCUUGCUUUCUGGAAUAGCAAGGAAAAGUGCAAAUCCGUUUUAGGGAGGCCUAGCCUUCCUAUAAAGAAAUCUGCUGAGUGUGAAGCCAUGGAUGCUCUUCAGAAUAAUUUGUGCAUUGCUUCUGCACAUUCCACCUGCCACUUUGGUCAGUGAGGAACUAGUGAAGUGAAGAGAAAAUGACAAGAAGUGAUUUGGAGAAACAAAACAAAGGAGAAGUAAAGGUAAAAGGAAGACUGACAAAUACAGGAUGAAAAGUGAAUUGAAAAGGACAAGUUCAAUGAAAGAUCAGUUUGGCAAACAGAAAUAGGAAGGACAGAUGAAAUUGGCAAUAAACGAAGAGAAAGUUAUGGGAGUAAGGGUGAAGAAUUUUUGUUUGGUUGUUUUAGCUAUGUUCUAAAAGCUCCUUAAAAUCUUCCAUAUUAGUCGUUCUGCCUUAAAUGAUUUAGGUGCUGGAGAACUGCUGGCUUAUAUUUAAGCUAUUUUAGUUCUGUCAUUGGAGAUGGUUCAUGGGGGGUAGUUGCUGACAAGUUUUGAAUAUAAAGAAACAAAGCGACCCAUAAGUGAUUAAUCUUAAUUGUUUAGUUGUAAAGGGGCAGGAUUUUCAGCUGGUUAUUUUUCUUUUCAGGAUACAACUGUGUGUGUGAACAGUUGUUUCAUUACAAUUCAGUUAUCAGAUGGGGUAAUCAGACUGAGAAAAUAGCACUCUUAAGAGGCUGGAAUGGAUAGAGUAGGUUAGUUGGAAGGGGGGGAUGCACGAAGAUAUCUAGUGCAACUGUCUGACCAUAUCAUGGCUAAUGAAAAGUUAAAGGAUAUUAUUGAGGGCAUUAUCCAAAUGACUCUUGAGCACUGACAGACAUGGGUCAUCAACCAUGGGAAGCCUGGGGAACUGCUGGGAAGUGUUUGACCCCUCUCAUGGUUAAAAAAAAAAAAAAAAAAAAAUUCUUUAAUCUGAACCACCUCGAUGCAAUUUUGUGCUAUUUCCAUACAUCUUGCCAUGUGGAAGAUCACAGGAAGAAGAUUUCAAGCUGGCUGUCUCUUGAGCCACGCUAGCUAUAUCUGCAAAACAUAUUUUGUUUAUGACUUGCAAGGAAUGUCCUAGUGAUAACAACUCAAGAUAAUUAUAUGUGCUUAAUAAAAUAUCUGAGGCAUAUCCUCCUUUCCUUACUGACCAUGCUGCAGAAAAGCCUUGAGCUGCUCUAGAGAAAGUACUGAGUCCUUAUGUUUUAGUGCUACUGCAGCCACAACUUCAUAAAGGGUUUUAAUGCUCCAGCACAGAAGAUAACUUUCGGGAGAUAGAGACGAAUGAGUCUUCCUGAAUCCAGGAGCCAAGCUCCCCAUGUGGAGAUGCAUGGCAAAUAUGUGAGUUGCUGUUGCCCUGGAGCUACAGCAACAGCUGCCAAGCAGCUGGGCUGAGCAGGGAGGACCUCUGAUGUACCUUUUCAGCAAAUUGUCCAUUUAUUUUGAUUCUGCAUAGAGUUUAGGAUUUUGGCAAGAGGAACUAUGGAAAAGACAGAAUGGAUUUAGGAGAACAUGGGAAGCACUGGAAAAUUCAGAGAUACCACAUACUAUAAUCACAAACAAGUCUAUAUGAGCUGAACCCUGGGAUGAUAAUAGACUUGGCAGUCAAUUUCUCUGAACCUCUUCCACUUUCUAAAAAUUUGCAGAUAACUGAGGCAAGAGGGACAAUUGAAAAACUACGGGAAUGGUAUUGGUAUUUGGAUCAGUAGCGCAAAGAGUUGAGCAAGGAAAAUAUGUUUGAAUGAAGAAAUUCUUAGCGAAAUUGUGAGUUUGUUUGUUUUCAUUUCAAUUUUUCUAAUAAACAGUAAUUGAAGGUAGUAACAAAUACAUCAGAAAUGAAGUUACCGCAUCUAUGCAGGGAAGUUGUAGAUUGGUUGUUCAGUGUAUCACAGUGUACACAGUCAGCUGAGAAUUUGUAUAGUUUCCCUGAUGGCUUUAUUUUCUAAACAGAAUGGGUUAAAUUUAGUAUAUGAUGGUACAUAACUUGUCUUAGAACAUGUGUGAAGAGGGAAUAAAAAAAAAAAACAACACAAAGCCUAAUUUUCCUUAUUUCUGACCAUGGAAAAGAGCUUAUGCUUAAAAUGGGGAGAAAAAAAACAGGAAUGGACCAUCCCUUGAUUUUAUGCACGGAAAGGAGUGUGCGUGAGUGAAGAAUACCUGGAAUUUGGCUAUGCAAAAAUUGUGAAAAAGGUCUGUUUUCCAAUAUGCAAUUGGUGGGAUAAAAUACUCACUUGAAUAAAUUCAGCUGUGUUCAGCUAUACACCUGUGUUAUAUUGAGCAGAAGUUUCCUCCCUGAAACUGCUUCCUAAAGGGUUAUGCUCCUCAGAAUAAGGACAUAACAGCACAAACAGGACAAUAUCUUCUUAAAAUUAAAAAUGUCUCUUUAUCAUUAGGAGAUUGGCUAUAUAACACAUCUGUUUGAAACUACCAAAGUGCGUUGGGUGCAUACAUGGCUGCUGAUAGGAGCUGUAACCACAGGAGGGUGCAGUUCUGCAUUGGGAGCUUCAUCUCAAGGAUUCCUAUCACAGGAAAGACAUUGUGGAACCUAGAAAAGAGCAACUUAAUUUUGUUGUCAGGCCCGUGUGACAGCCUUAUGAGCUGAUUUAAGACCCAUCAGAACUGGAGAGUAAAUAUUUUAUGUUCUCCCGACCACCACCAUCUACUUUGGACACCUUUCUAGGAAGUGCUUUUGUGAAUGGCUCGGCUGGCAGAAUUUUUCAUGGAAAGAGCUAAUGUUCAAUACAUUUGUAUGUUGAUGGUGCUUCUCAUCAAAAACCUGUAUCCAUAACAGAGAUCUGAGAAUGGAUAAAGUACAAGACAAGAAAACGAAGUGGAAUAGAUAAAUGAUGGAAGAGUAUUUUGGAAAGAAACUACUGAGAAAGCCAUGCAGGUGCUGCUGGGUUUUAUUUGUUUAUUUAUUAUAAGUUAAAGAUUUAUUUUAAAUUUUGUAAUCAGAGUUGCUUCAUUUAGAUGCACAGCUAUGAAAAUUAAAAAAAAAAAAAAAGAAAAAGAAAAGAAAAAGAAAAAAAAAGAAAGAAAACCAAUGUCCUAAAUAAGUUCUUAUGUUUCUUUUUUCUUCUGAGGUCAAGUUCAUUAUUGUAACUUUGUGAGUGUUUUUCAUAGUGCCAUUGCCAAAUGACAUUAAAAUUACUAAUACAGAAGUAGAUUAAGAGAACAUGAUUAAGAUUGCAAAGUCAGGAAAAAUCAUAAUUAAGGUUGCCUGUGCAAUUUUAACUCAGUUCCUGUGUGGAUAUCCAUCCUGAUAAGAGGGUUUAAUUACGUAGCCAUGGUCUUUUUCUUUUCUUUUUUUCCUCAGGACACUUCCCAAUCACUGAGCACCAUUUUACUGACUCUUCUCAAAGUGGUUAUAUUUUCAUGGGUAUUUAUUUUUUUAUUAUUAUUUUUUAUUUUUAUUUUUUUAUUCAGAGGGCAGAGGAGAAAUAAUAAGAUUCUUACACUUAAGAAUCGGGAUGUUAAAGUGCUGACAUUACGAUUUCACCAUAUUGUAACUUCUGUAGAACAUAAGUUUCUUAACUGUAACAAAAUGCCCAACUAGUGCUUUUGGGAGGGAGCCAACACUGUUCCCUGUCUUCCUCAGUCCCACAGAAAUCAAAUUCAAGUCCCACUAUCUGUGUGUGUGUGUAUAUAUAAUUUAUAUGUAUAAAUAAAAGCAUCGUGAAGCAGAAGUGUGAAUGAAACUGUAAAUAUGACUUUAUGGUGGAAACUUUGGGCAGUGGUUUCAUUGUUUCUCAUUUCAACCUUUUUGAAAAUGCUGCAAAGGAAUCGAGAAGUAAAUGGAAAGUUUCUGAAUUUAUUUUCCUUACUGGAACUCCUUAGAUUAUGUCAUUUUAAAAACUGUGACACCGAGCUACAAACGUGGUGAACGGUCUGGAGGGAAAAACAUAUGAGGAGUAGCUGAGGUCCACUGGUCAGUUUGUUCAGCUAAGAGGAGGCUGAGGGAAGGCCUCAUUGUGGCUUACAGUUGGACUCAGUGAUCCUUAUGGGUCCCUUCCAAUUCAGGAUGUUCCAAUUCAGAUGACUCUGUGAUUCUGUUAUUUUUAGUGUUGCUUUUCUUUGUGUACUGUGGGUUGGACCCCAUUCAUUUUUUUUUUCCUCAUUAUACAAGAACUCCAGCAUAAUUCUAAAAAGGCUGGUAAGAAGUUCACAAAUAAGGAAUUGAUUUUAAAUACAAUUUUUUUAAAACAUCUGCUUGAUUCUCAGUGUAGUUUUGUAUUUUGCAAAAUUAAGAUAUUAUCACUUAAGUUGAUUAUGAAAACUCUAAAAGCAGAUAAAAUUAGGAAGAACUUAACCAGAAAGAAUGGAAAUCUACCCUACUGGUACCAGUUUGGCAUUCACAAGUUGAUUUUUAUAAAUCUUCAGUUGACCUUUUUGACAGGAGCCUUUUGAAGUUCAGUGACAAUGAAUAUGAAGCUCUGUACCUGGAACUGAGGAACUGCUGUUAAAGCAUGGGCUGUGGCUUGCCAGGCUGGGGAGCAGCUCUGAUCAAAGCAGCCUAGUGGUCUUGCUGGACCAGUGUGUCUGAUCAUGUUUCUUCUUGUACCACAUCUGCCUUUUGAAGAAGGGAGGGGGGGAAGCCACAUGUUUUCAGGCUGUGGAACUACUAAAGUGUCU
ensembl:lncRNA